GUCCAGAUUUUUAGUAUUCGUAUUGUUAUCUUAGAAAGUCUAACUGAUUAAAAUACAACAAUAGGUAACAAUUUGACAAUUAAGUAGUGUCAACCCUGUGAUUAUGACCCGUGUAAUACUAUAUAGCAUAUUAAUCCUUAAUACACCGUUUGGUGGUGCGCCUGUCAGAUGCGGAACGUACAGAUAAGGUAAUCGGUAACAGGUGAAUAUACUAUUGGUAUCGGUAUCGGACUCGACCCGGAACUUCUUAAUUAUUGGCAAUAUUAAUUACGUGGAAAACAAAAGGGCCUG
rnacentral:lncRNA from 1 species